CCUGCACACAAACCCAAAGGUCAUCAAUUCGACACGUGUGAUGACCUACGCUACAUGUGCGCAAAGAAACGGCGGCCUUGUCGCCUUUUACCGGCUCCGUGUGCCAGUAGGAGUAAAUUCAAGGUCCGACAUUC